rnacentral:rRNA from 1 species
AACACGUGGGCAAUCUGCCCUUCACUCUGGGACAAGCCCUGGAAACGGGGUCUAAUACCGGAUAACACUCUGUCCCGCAUGGGACGGGGUUAAAAGCUCCGGCGGUGAAGGAUGAGCCCGCGGCCUAUCAGCUUGUUGGUGGGGUGAUGGCCUACCAAGGCGACGACGGGUAGCCGGCCUGAGAGGGCGACCGGCCACACUGGGACUGAGACACGGCCCAGACUCCUACGGGAGGCAGCAGUGGGGAAUAUUGCACAAUGGGCGAAAGCCUGAUGCAGCGACGCCGCGUGAGGGAUGACGGCCUUCGGGUUGUAAACCUCUUUCAGCAGGGAAGAAGCGAGAGUGACGGUACCUGCAGAAGAAGCGCCGGCUAACUACGUGCCAGCAGCCGCGGUAAUACGUAGGGCGCAAGCGUUGUCCGGAAUUAUUGGGCGUAAAGAGCUCGUAGGCGGCUUGUUGCGUCGGUUGUGAAAGCCCGGGGCUUAACCCCGGGUCUGCAGUCGAUACGGGCAGGCUAGAGUGUGGUAGGGGAGAUCGGAAUUCCUGGUGUAGCGGUGAAAUGCGCAGAUAUCAGGAGGAACACCGGUGGCGAAGGCGGAUCUCUGGGCCAUUACUGACGCUGAGGAGCGAAAGCGUGGGGAGCGAACAGGAUUAGAUACCCUGGUAGUCCACGCCGUAAACGUUGGGAACUAGGUGUUGG